AGUGAACGCUGGCGGUAGGCCUAACACAUGCAAGUCGAACGGCAGCACAGUAAGAGCUUGCUCUUACGGGUGGCGAGUGGCGGACGGGUGAGGAAUACAUCGGAAUCUACUUUUUCGUGGGGGAUAACGUAGGGAAACUUACGCUAAUACCGCAUACGACCUACGGGUGAAAGCAGGGGAUCUUCGGACCUUGCGCGAUUGAAUGAGCCGAUGUCGGAUUAGCUAGUUGGCGGGGUAAAGGCCCACCAAGGCGACGAUCCGUAGCUGGUCUGAGAGGAUGAUCAGCGACACUGGAACUGAGACACGGUCCAGACUCCUCCGGGAGGCAGCAGUGGGGAAUAUUAGACAAUGGGCGCAAGCCUGAUCCAGACAUACCGCGUGGGUGAAGAAGGCCUUCGGGUUGUAAAGCCCUUUUGUUGGGAAAGAAAAGCAGCAGGUUAAUACCCCGCUGUUCUGACGGUACCCAAAGAAUAAGCACCGGCUAACUUCGUG
rnacentral:rRNA from 1 species